GUGCGGCUCGCGGGGCAGCUCGGCAGCAUGGCGUCCGUGGCGCUGAGCGAGGCAGAGAAGGUGUACAUCGUGCACGGCGUCCAGUUCAGCCAGUGCUACCCCUGAAUUUGAAGGUAGAGGAGGUGAUGACCUUGGCACCGAGAUCGCUAACACCCUCUAUCGGAUAUUUAACAAUAAAAGCAGUGUCGACCUAAAGACCCUCUGCAUUAGUCCUCGGGAGCACUGCUGGAUUCUCUAUGUGGAUGUGCUGCUGCUGGAAUGUGGUGGAAAUUUGUUUGAUGCCAUUUCCAUUGCUGUAAAGGCUGCUCUCUUCAAUACAAGGAUACCAAGGGUUCGAGUUCUGGAGGAUGAAGAGGGGUCGAAGGACAUUGAAUUGUCUGAUGACCCUUAUGACUGCAUACGACUAAGUGUGGAGAAUAUCCCCUGCAUUGUCACUCUGUGCAAGAUUGGCUAUCGGCAUGUGGUGGAUGCUACUCUUCAGGAGGAGGCCUGCUCGCUGGCCAGCUUGCUGGUGUCGGUGACCAGCAAGGGAGUUGUGACGUGCAUGAGGAAAGUGGGGAAGGGCAGCCUGGACCCAGAGAGCAUCUUCGAGAUGAUGGAGACUGGCAAGCGUGUGGGCAAGGUGCUGCAUGCCUCCUUGCAGAGUGUUCUGCACAAGGAAGAAAGCCUGGGGCCCAAGAGACAGAAAGUUGGAUUCCUGGGAUGAUUUGCACAUCAACUGCUCAACUGUGGAUUGUUUUUUAUUUUUCCUUUUAAACCGGGGAACUGAAACUCCUAAAUCUUAAAACGCCCUGGGGAAGGAGCUGAUUCAUGAAGGAGAGCAUUUCAACC
rnacentral:sRNA from 1 species